CCUACGGGAGGCAGCAGUGAGGAAUAUUGGUCAAUGGGCGAGAGCCUGAACCAGCCAAGUCGCGUGAAGGAUGAAGGAUCUAUGGUUUGUAAACUUCUUUUAUAUGGGAAUAAAGUGAGGAACGUGUUCCUUUUUGUAUGUACCAUAUGAAUAAGCAUCGGCUAACUCCGUGCCAGCAGCCGCGGUAAUACGGAGGAUGCGAGCGUUAUCCGGAUUUAUUGGGUUUAAAGGGUGCGUAGGUGGUUAAUUAAGUCAGCGGUGAAAGUUUGUGGCUCAACCAUAAAAUUGCAGUUGAAACUGGUUGACGUGAGUAUAGUUGAGGUAGGCGGAAUGCGUGGUGUAGCGGUGAAAUGCAUAGAUAUCACGCAGAACUCCGAUUGCGAAGGCAGCUUACUAAACUAUAACUGACACUGAAGCUCGAAAGCGUGGGGAUCAAACAGGAUUAGAUACCCUUGUAGUC
rnacentral:rRNA from 1 species